AUUGAACGCUGGCGGCAGGCUUAACACAUGCAAGUCGAGCGGGGUGAUGGUGCUUGCACUAUCACUUAGCGGCGGACGGGUGAGUAAUGCUUAGGAAUCUGCCUAUUAGUGGGGGACAACAUCUCGAAAGGGAUGCUAAUACCGCAUACGUCCUACGGGAGAAAGCAGGGGAUCACUUGUGACCUUGCGCUAACAGAUGAGCCUAAGUCGGAUUAGCUAGUUGGUGGGGUAAAGGCCUACCAAGGCGACGAUCUGUAGCGGGUCUGAGAGGAUGAUCCGCCACACUGGGACUGAGACACGGCCCAGACUCCUACGGGAGGCAGCAGUGGGGAAUAUUGGACAAUGGGGGGAACCCUGAUCCAGCCAUGCCGCGUGUGUGAAGAAGGCCUUAUGGUUGUAAAGCACUUUAAGCGAGGAGGAGGCCCUUUUGGUUAAUACCCAAGAUGAGUGGACGUUACUCGCAGAAUAAGCACCGGCUAACUCUGUGCCAGCCGCCGCGGUAA
rnacentral:rRNA from 1 species